AUUGAACGCUGGCGGCAUGCUUUACACAUGCAAGUCGAACGGUAACAGGCCGCAAGGUGCUGACGAGUGGCGAACGGGUGAGUAAUGCAUCGGAACGUGCCCAGUCGUGGGGGAUAACGCAGCGAAAGCUGCACUAAUACCGCAUACGAUCUGUGGAUGAAAGCGGGGGACCGUAAGGCCUCGCGCGAUUGGAGCGGCCGAUGUCAGAUUAGGUAGUUGGUGGGGUAAAGGCUCACCAAGCCGACGAUCUGUAGCUGGUCUGAGAGGACGACCAGCCACACUGGGACUGAGACACGGCCCAGACUCCUACGGGAGGCAGCAGUGGGGAAUUUUGGACAAUGGGCGCAAGCCUGAUCCAGCAAUGCCGCGUGCAGGAAGAAGGCCUUCGGGUUGUAAACUGCUUUUGUACGGAACGAAAAGGCUCUGGUUAAUACCUGGGGCUCAUGACGGUACCGUAAGAAUAAGCACCGGCUAACUACGUGCCAGCCGCCGCAGUAAUAC
rnacentral:rRNA from 1 species